AAUAAAAUCUCUUUAAAAGUAAAAUGGAAAAUGAGAAGAUAAUCUGGCCUCCAGCUCUAAAGUUCAAUAUUCUUUCUGUCCUUAUCUUUUCUUCCAGGAACAAACAGAGUCACUUAAUGGCUUGAGGUGACAGGUUCUGAGGAUGCCAAGGUCAAGGGCUCUGCGGCAGGAAAGGCACACCAAGGACGUCAGAAGAGGGUGUGAAGCCCUGGAACUGGAGCUGAAGACAAUUAAAGUUUGGUUGGUCCUGGUGCCUCAGCAAAGCCAUCAUGCUAAAGACUGAGUGACAGACCCCUCAGAACUCAUCUACGGAAGUCCUAACUUCGACGUGACUGCGGAGAGGGACUUUAUGGAAGCGACGAAGUCACAGGGAUGGCCCCCUCAGCUCAUAAGAUUAGUGCCCUUAAAAUUAAAAAAAGAGAUACCUAGUGACCCUGAAGAGCCUUGGCCUUGGACAGCUAACCUCUAGGACGGUGUGAAAUCAAUGUCUGCUGUGUUGGAUGCUUUUGUAGCCCAGUGUGCGAUAAGUAGAGCUUGCUGGGGGCGGGGGAUCCAAACUGUGUGCCUUUUAAUACUGCCUCCGACAGCGUGCCACACAGUCAGAAGCAGGGAGAAAUUGCCUGAUUAGUCUAGGUACGUUUUGUUACGGCAGCUGGAGCUGGCAUGUUCAAUUCACAUUGAGCCCUUCUCUCAGCCAAGUGUAAAACAAAUGCACUGACUGUCAGGAAAUCCGAACUUGCCUUUACAUACGUGACACUGUUAGCAUUCAAAUCCCACCAGCUUUUCUUUCUUUCUUUUUUUCUGCUGUCAUCUUUUUUUAAAACUAAUUUUUAAAUUAGCUUUCAUUCUACAUGUGUUUUGUUUGCUCAUUAAAAGUGAAUUUAAUUGGUCAU